rnacentral:lncRNA from 1 species
AUGGGAUUUUCCAGGCAAGAGUACUGGAGUGGGGUGCGACUGCCUUCUCCCGGGUCUGUAUUUAGUCAGGACUAAACUAGGUGGGGAGGUGGAGAAAAGUCCUUAGGAAACUGUUUCCACGAGGGCCCUUCCCUCCUCCCUUUCCCUUAAGGAAACUCUGGAAAGCAACAGCUGAAAGUUUACUUUCUGUGAGGGUGUAAAUCAGAGUCAUAUUUCUGUUUCCAGCAAUAAGUGGAAACAAGAUGAACCUGAUGGUCUCAAACAGGUAAAGUCUGACCACAAAAUGACUCUGGGGCUUGUUGGAAGAUCAAUGUCUAUGGGAUCUGUUUCAUUAGAGGGAAGACAUGGCAGAUCACAUUUCUAUAUCAGCGCCCGGGCCUGACCUGUGGCAGCCUCACUCUCAGCAGACUAGUUGUGAUCAUCUGAGGCAGGACAUCUCCAGCAAGGAGGCUGCUGUCCCCAGGGCUGGGCCACAUCUAUGUCCACAUCAGACAGCCUGUAAAUGUCCAGUCCAUGUCUAUCUAGGCUUAUGCCCUGAUUAUUUUUGUGUUCUCUGGCAAUACAGAUAAGGAACAAACAGGUGACACCAUCACUAGCUGUAUUUUGACUUUCUGAAGAGAGAAAUAAAAUGCUACCUGUGAUGGGCCAGAAACGGGCACAGAGACAGUGUGGUGUAGUUACAAGUAAGGAGUCUGGAGACAGUCUCUCUCUGUGUUCAAAUCCUCAAAAAGCUGUUUCACCUCUCUAGGACUCAGUUCCAUCUGUAAAACGGAAGUAAUAAUAGCAGCAAUUCCACAGGGUUAUUUGUGAGGAAUAAACACUAAUUUAUGAAAAGCAUUCAGAAUAACAAUUUAUGAAAAGCAUUUGGUAUUAUUAUUCUGAAUGUAUUAUUAAGUGUGAUAGCCUUACACUUAACAAAGGCUAUCAUUAUUGUCAAGAAUUGCUCAUAUUGUUUCCCCAAGUGGAUCUUGGGAGAAUGAGAACUAGGUCCCCUUAUGCAGGCCUUAAUAAUGACUUGCUUGUGGAAAGGAAAAAGAGCUUUGUAGGAGACAGCUCCUUUAUGAAUUCCAGUGUCCUGGGUCUGUAUUGCAGGUACAUGCAUGGAAACCAAGGAGAUAGGCUAUGUGCAUCACCCAUAAAAAUCCUAUGUCCCUGGGACCCCCUCCUAACCCCUCAGAGCACUGCUGAUGGAAGAAAAAGGAGGGUCAGUUAAUCUGCUCAUCAGCCAUGUAGGAACCAUCCUUCAGACCUCUCUUGGUUACAGCAGUACCUUAGCACUUGACAAGUCUGUGGCUAGCACCUGAUCUGUGGAAAACAGCCUGGGGUCUCCAAAGAGGGAAGAA